UACGGAGGCAGCAGUGGGGAAUUUUGGACAAUGGGCGAAAGCCUGAUCCAGCAAUGCCGCGUUGAGUGAAGAAGGCCUUCGGGUUGUAAAGCUCUUUUGUCAGGGAAGAAACGGUGAGAGCUAAUAUCUCUUGCUAAUGACGGUACCUGAAGAAUAAGCACCGGCUAACUACGUUUGCCAGCAACCGCGGUAAUACGCUAGGGUGCAAACGUUAAUCGGAAUUACUGGGCGCUAAAGCGUGCGCAGGCGGUUUUGUAAGUCUGAUGUGAAAUCCCCGGGCUCAACCUGGGAAUUGCAUUGGAGACUGCAAGGCUAGAAUCUGGCAGAGGGGGGUAGAAUUCCACGUGUAGGCAGUGAAAUGCGUAGAUAUGUGGAGGAACACCGAUGGCGAAGGCAGCCCCCUGGGUCAAGAUUGACGCUCAUGCACGAAAGCGUGGGGAGCAAACAGGAUUAGAU
rnacentral:rRNA from 1 species